UACUGGUCUCCAAUUAGAACAAAUCCCUGUAACCAGUCUAUCACACAUUUGCAUUACCUCUCUUUCAGAUUCUUCCUUUACUUUACCUAGUGUACUCAAUGUCUCCCCGUUCUUAGAGUCAAGGGAUUGUGGUUUUAGUGGUAAGAUAAAGAAUUAUGCACUGUUGCUCGGUAGCAUACACACAAAUGUUCCAAGUCCCAAUCAAGUGAUAAAGAAUAAGAGUAUCGUCUCACAGAGAAUUGUUAGUAAUUAAUUCUUCAAUUAUUUAGUAUCAAAUUUAGAACAACUUCAAUUUGUGCAAACAGUAAUUGUUGAAUUAAUUUUCUAACACUACUCGAGAAUUUAGCUGACAAUUAAAUAAGAACAAUGAUACGUUAUGGAAUUCACGUACAAUUUACUAAGAUUACACGAGAAUUUAAGUUUAAAGCCUAGAGUUGUGACCUCCCUCGAUUCAUUUACUACUUGCAUUCUCUUUAACUUGCUUCAACGAAUUGAGUCAUUAACCAAAGGCAUAACUGUGCUAAUUAAUAUAUCUCGGAUUGCUCAUAAGUUUAUCUUCUUUAAUUUAUUAUCUAUAUCUCUAUGAGAAUAACACUAUUUAAGAUGCUUAGUUUUACACCCUAAUGAUGGUUGCAGUUAAGAAUUAUGAAGGUGUUAAUAGGGCAAGCGUCAAUUCCUACGAUUGUGUAAUUAUGAAGAUAUUACUUUCUUUUCUUAUUUAGGAUUACAUAUAACACUAUUUUAACCCCAACAUACUUGAGGAGAUAAUCAAACAAUUCAAUUACCAAAUCACUUCUGCUCUUUUUCUUUACAUGGUAGAGCAUUAGGAAGAUUAGCUACAUUUGAUGAUGCUCAACCGAAGCAGGGAAUGUCCUGGAAGUAGGCUAUGAGUCACAUGAAGGACUUUGUUUACCUGUAUAAUGGGUAGAAAUAUCAGCUUAUUAGCGGGUGGACGUUUAGUUGAGGUCAUCUGGAAUAGGCUAGAGGUCGUUUGGAUUAGACUUAAGGAGGAGAAGCUGGAGUCAAACGAGUUGGAAUGGCAAGAACCGUGGGGAUGGCCUUUUGAUUGUGUAAUUUGGUGAGAAGUAGAGGAUGUCUAAAAAUCAUUACAUCUGCUGAGACAAAGUACUUAUGUGUAGCAGUAUCAUAGCAUUUGUAACCUUUUUGGUGAUGGGAGUACCCAAGAAAGUACAUUUGAUAGACUUUGACUGGAGUUUGUCAUUUCCGGGAGUGAGAUCUUGGAUGAAGCUUGUGCACCCAAACACCAGUUGAGAAGAGGAAUCAGAGAUUGAUCCGACUAAAGGAUAGAAGAAGGACCUUUGUGCUGUAAAACAGAGGAAGACAUGCGAUUGAUUAGAUAACAAGCAGUUAGUAACAGUGUCACUUCAUAGAGGAACCGGAUCAUGAGAAUGAAUCAGUAGCUCUUCUAAAUGGAAUCACAAUGGGUGGUGGAGCUGCAAUUUCAAUCCCAGGAACAUUCCGUGUUGCGACUGAAAAAACUGAGAGUACCUGGCCCUAACAGGAAACAAGCUCAGUGGAGCUGAAAUGAUGUCCUGUGGUCUUGCUACACACUACUGUCUCAGUGUAAGGCUUCCCUUAAUCGAGGAACAACUCGGAAAGCUUAUAACGGACGAACCUUCUGUCAUUGAAAGUUCCCUUGCAAAAUUUGGAGAUAUUGUCCAUCCGGAUAGAAUGAGUGUACUUCAAAGGAUUGAAACACUUAAUAAAUGUUUCUGCCAUGAGACAGUGGAGGAAAUCAUUGAUUCUCUGGUAAGCAUGUAAUCUUUACCUCCUGUUUCUGUAAAAAAGAUGUAAUUCUAUUUUGCUAAGCAAAAUGUGAUAACCCGCCAUGUCAUCAUGCCACAUAGGCGCCAUUUGGCAUAUAUUAAUGCCAUGUGGAAGCUUACAUAAGAAGAAGGCUAGCAUUUGUGAGAACAUUCUAGAGAGGUAUGCACAUUUCCUUAGGAAGAACCU